CCUACGGGACGCACCAGUGGGGAAUAUUGCACAAUGGGCGCAAGCCUGAUGCAGCCAUACCGCGUGUAUGAAGAAGGCCUUCGGGUUGUAAAGUACUUUCAGCGAGGAGGAAGGCGUUAAGGUUAAUAACCUUAGCGAUUGACGUUACUCGCAGAAGAAGCACCGGCUAAUUCCGUGCCAGCAGCCGCGGUAAUACGGAGGGUGCAAGCGUUAAUCGGAAUUACUGGGCGUAAAGCGCACGCAGGCGGUCUGUCAAGUCGGAUGUGAACUCCCCGGGCUCAACCUGGGAACUGCAUUCGAAACUGGCAGGCUAGAGUCUUGUAGAGGGGGGUAGAAUUCCGGGUGUAGCGGUGAAAUGCGUAGAGAUCUGGAGGAAUACCGGUGGCGAAGGCGGCCCCCUGGACAAAGACUGACGCUCAGGUGCGAAAGCGUGGGGAGCAAACAGGAUUAGAUACCCGUGUAGUC
rnacentral:rRNA from 1 species